rnacentral:lncRNA from 1 species
UAUUACUGGAAUACAAUUACAAAUACAAAGUAGGUAAAGAAUGGAGAAGUUGGUGCCAAGGAAGAGAAACAAAUGAUGUGUGGUCUAGGAUGUCUUUUGGGCUUGUAAUUACUGCAUUUUGACAGUAUAAUGAACUGUAUUUUUUGUUCAAUUUGAUGGUAAAUUGGAGGUCUUAUUAUGACCAAGUGUCUGUAAGUUUUUGGGGGUCAUAAUUUUGCAUCCAACAAUCAGUCAAACUGAAAUUUGUUGUUUGUGUAAUGCUG